UUAAGUUAUUAAGGGCGCACGGUGGAUGCCUUGGCACUAGAAGCCGAUGAAGGACGUUACUAACGACGAUAUGCUUUGGGGAGCUGUAAGUAAGCUUUGAUCCAGAGAUUUCCGAAUGGGGAAACCCAGCAUGAGUUAUGUCAUGUUAUCGAUAUGUGAAUACAUAGCAUAUCAGAAGGCACACCCGGAGAACUGAAACAUCUUAGUAACCGGAGGAAGAGAAAGAAAAUUCGAUUCCCUUAGUAGCGGCGAGCGAAACGGGAAGAGCCCAAACCAACAAGCUUGCUUGUUGGGGUUGUAGGACACUCUAUACGGAGUUACAAAGGACGACAUUAGACGAAUCAUCUGGAAAGAUGAAUCAAAGAAGGUAAUAAUCCUGUAGUCGAAAAUGUUGUCUCUCUUGAGUGGAUCCUGAGUACGACGGAGCACGUGAAAUUCCGUCGGAAUCUGGGAGGACCAUCUCCUAAGGCUAAAUACUCUCUAGUGACCGAUAGUGAACCAGUACCGUGAGGGAAAGGUGAAAAGCACCCCGGAAGGGGAGUGAAAUAGAACCUGAAACCGUGUGCUUACAAGUAGUCAGAGCCCGUUAAUGGGUGAUGGCGUGCCUUUUGUAGAAUGAACCGGCGAGUUACGAUUUGAUGCAAGGUUAAGCAGUAAAUGUGGAGCCGUAGCGAAAGCGAGUCUGAAUAGGGCGUUUAGUAUUUGGUCGUAGACCCGAAACCAGGUGAUCUACCCUUGGUCAGGUUGAAGUUCAGGUAACACUGAAUGGAGGACCGAACCGACUUACGUUGAAAAGUGAGCGGAUGAACUGAGGGUAGCGGAGAAAUUCCAAUCGAACCUGGAGAUAGCUGGUUCUCUCCGAAAUAGCUUUAGGGCUAGCCUCAAGUGAUGAUUAUUGGAGGUAGAGCACUGUUUGGACGAGGGGCCCCUCUCGGGUUACCGAAUUCAGACAAACUCCGAAUGCCAAUUAAUUUAACUUGGGAGUCAGAACAUGGGUGAUAAGGUCCGUGUUCGAAAGGGAAACAGCCCAGACCACCAGCUAAGGUCCCAAAAUAUAUGUUAAGUGGAAAAGGAUGUGGCGUUGCCCAGACAACUAGGAUGUUGGCUUAGAAGCAGCCAUCAUUUAAAGAGUGCGUAAUAGCUCACUAGUCGAGUGACACUGCGCCGAAAAUGUACCGGGGCUAAACAUAUUACCGAAGCUGUGGAUUGUCCUUUGGACAAUGGUAGGAGAGCGUUCUAAGGGCGUUGAAGCAUGAUCGUAAGGACAUGUGGAGCGCUUAGAAGUGAGAAUGCCGGUGUGAGUAGCGAAAGACGGGUGAGAAUCCCGUCCACCGAUUGACUAAGGUUUCCAGAGGAAGGCUCGUCCGCUCUGGGUUAGUCGGGUCCUAAGCUGAGGCCGACAGGCGUAGGCGAUGGAUAACAGGUUGAUAUUCCUGUACCACCUAUAAUCGUUUUAAUCGAUGGGGGGACGCAGUAGGAUAGGCGAAGCGUGCGAUUGGAUUGCACGUCUAAGCAGUAAGGCUGAGUAUUAGGCAAAUCCGGUACUCGUUAAGGCUGAGCUGUGAUGGGGAGAAGACAUUGUGUCUUCGAGUCGUUGAUUUCACACUGCCGAGAAAAGCCUCUAGAUAGAAAAUAGGUGCCCGUACCGCAAACCGACACAGGUAGUCAAGAUGAGAAUUCUAAGGUGAGCGAGCGAACUCUCGUUAAGGAACUCGGCAAAAUGACCCCGUAACUUCGGGAGAAGGGGUGCUCUUUAGGGUUAACGCCCAGAAGAGCCGCAGUGAAUAGGCCCAAGCGACUGUUUAUCAAAAACACAGGUCUCUGCUAAACCGUAAGGUGAUGUAUAGGGGCUGACGCCUGCCCGGUGCUGGAAGGUUAAGAGGAGUGGUUAGCUUCUGCGAAGCUACGAAUCGAAGCCCCAGUAAACGGCGGCCGUAACUAUAACGGUCCUAAGGUAGCGAAAUUCCUUGUCGGGUAAGUUCCGACCCGCACGAAAGGCGUAACGAUUUGGGCACUGUCUCAACGAGAGACUCGGUGAAAUCAUAGUACCUGUGAAGAUGCAGGUUACCCGCGACAGGACGGAAAGACCCCGUGGAGCUUUACUGUAGCCUGAUAUUGAAAUUCGGCACAGCUUGUACAGGAUAGGUAGGAGCCUUUGAAACGUGAGCGCUAGCUUACGUGGAGGCGCUGGUGGGAUACUACCCUAGCUGUGUUGGCUUUCUAACCCGCACCACUUAUCGUGGUGGGAGACAGUGUCAGGCGGGCAGUUUGACUGGGGCGGUCGCCUCCUAAAAGGUAACGGAGGCGCUCAAAGGUUCCCUCAGAAUGGUUGGAAAUCAUUCAUAGAGUGUAAAGGCAUAAGGGAGCUUGACUGCGAGACCUACAAGUCGAGCAGGGUCGAAAGACGGACUUAGUGAUCCGGUGGUUCCGCAUGGAAGGGCCAUCGCUCAACGGAUAAAAGCUACCCCGGGGAUAACAGGCUUAUCUCCCCCAAGAGUUCACAUCGACGGGGAGGUUUGGCACCUCGAUGUCGGCUCAUCGCAUCCUGGGGCUGUAGUCGGUCCCAAGGGUUGGGCUGUUCGCCCAUUAAAGCGGUACGCGAGCUGGGUUCAGAACGUCGUGAGACAGUUCGGUCCCUAUCCGUCGUGGGCGUAGGAAAUUUGAGAGGAGCUGUCCUUAGUACGAGAGGACCGGGAUGGACAUACCUCUGGUGUACCAGUUGUCGUGCCAACGGCAUAGCUGGGUAGCUAUGUGUGGACGGGAUAAGUGCUGAAAGCAUCUAAGCAUGAAGCCCCCC
rnacentral:rRNA from 1 species